AGCUUGUUGAUUUUUAAUAAUAAGUAUUUCGCCUGUUUAUCAAAAACAUAGUUUUUUGGAUUUUCAUAAAAAAUAUUUUCUGCUCGGUGUUUUAUUAACAGCCGCGGUAAUUUGACCGUGCAAAGGUAGCAUAAUCAUUUGCUUUAUAAUUGAGGGCUUGAAUGAAUGGAGUAACAAGAUAUUUUCUUUAUUUAAAAGAUGUUAAAAAUUUGUUUUCUUAGUGAAGAUUCUAAGAUUUAUUUAUGGGACAAGAAGACCCUUUUGAGCUUUAUUAUUUUUACAGUUAUGUACUUUAAUAUAAUUUGGUUGGGGUGACCAAGGAAGUUUUUAUCUUCCUUUAUUUUAAUGAUCCAGGGUUUUUGAGUUUUGGAUUAAGCUACCAUAGGGAUAACAGCGUAAUUUUUUUUAGAAGUUCUUAUUUAAAAAAAAGAUUGCGACCUCGAUGUUGACUUAUAGUUUCCUUUUGGUGUAGCAGCUAGAAUGGUGGGUCUGUUCGACCUUUAAAACUUU
rnacentral:rRNA from 1 species